rnacentral:rRNA from 1 species
CUGUGAGGCAUGCUGGAGGUAUCAGAAGUGCGAAUGCUGACAUAAGUAACGAUAAAGCGGGUGAAAAGCCCGCUCGCCGGAAGACCAAGGGUUCCUGUCCAACGUUAAUCGGGGCAGGGUGAGUCGACCCCUAAGGCGAGGCCGAAAGGCGUAGUCGAUGGGAAACAGGUUAAUAUUCCUGUACUUGGUGUUACUGCGAAGGGGGGACGGAGAAGGCUAUGUUGGCCGGGCGACGGUUGUCCCGGUUUAAGCGUGUAGGCUGGUUUUCCAGGCAAAUCCGGAAAAUCAAGGCUGAGGCGUG